GCGGCGGGGGCAGCGCCGGCCGGACACCAACUCCGCGCCCUCCGAGACUUCGAAGGGAGCGGGGGGAGAGGGAAGCGCGUUGUGAGCGGAGUCGCUCGUCUGUAACGCGCACCGGCAGCAACUUUUUUUUUUAAGCUGAGCGAGCACGAAGCCUUCCCGCAGCUCCUGCUCCACAAAGACUGCAAGGAAAAGUUUCUAAAUUGAAGAAUGUUUUCCUACUACUCUCCCUGCACAAAUGUACUUCCCAGAAGUCACCAAGAUUUAGAAGCCCUGAAACAGCUGUGUGGCCUGAGAUGGAGAAGACUGCAAUCCUGACUGUUCCAUGGCACCAACGGAGCGGCUGAACGAGCAGCGCUGCGCACCUCUGGCAUCUAAUGGCUGCAAUCAACAUUCAUUGCUGUCGGUGGGUUUUCGUUUCUAUCAACUCACUGAUCAAUGAAUGCAAACUGCGGACCAGCUCGCUAAGAGACCGCACGUUCCCACGGCUCGGGGCACCGUGCCGGCAGGGAAAGAGACAGGCUUUUUGCCAGGUACUCAAGUUCUGCCUCCCAGGAACAGCAUGGGGCAGGUCCAUGGCUCUGCUCUUAACGUCACCAAAAAAGUGCAGCACAAAUCACCCAGCUUCUUCGUGAGCAACGUUAACAUCUCACAGAGCAGUAAAUUCUGAAUAAAGUAAGUAUUCCUUCAGAUGUGCAGGGCAUCGGACCCUCACAAGUCUACAAAGUCUUGGUCUGCUGAGGUGAUGCUCUCAAUACAGGCCAAUAGAAUUGUUAUCCAUCCUUAGCACAGACUGAGCGAGAGCUCCCUGUCAUUUAUCACCUUCAAGAGAAGGUGUUUGCAUGCUGACUACUGUAAAUAAUACAAAAAGCUUUUCUUUCAGAUACAGAAACCGUAUCAGCAGAAGAGAAUGCAGUUUUGCGUUGGCAGAUGUCCAUCAGGUGUUUGCCCCAGCCACCCACCAGGUUCCUUCUUUGGUUUACAGCACGGAAGCAAUAGCAAUAGAGCCACCUCCAGCAUCGUUCUAAUCCUUCACAGCCGUAAGACAGCAAUGCCAUCCCGUUACUACUGAACAGGCACCUUCCUGGCCUGGGAGGAGGUUGCAUUUCAGAGGAGGGUGGGUAAAAACAGCCUUUCUUUGUGUCCCUCUUCCCAAGCCACCUUGUUCUGACCCCAGGUUCUCCUCGGGGUUUCACACCAUCCUGGACUGCAGUGUGACGUGGUCCUUCUCCUCAAAGCCCUUCCCUGCCCCACGCUGUUUUCCUCCACUCCUCCAGGGCCUGGGACCUCCCUGUCCUCCGAGCAACGUCCCGCUGUCGGAGCUGCCUGAUGGGCUGCAG